UACGUAGGGCGCAAGCGUUGUCCGGAAUUAUUGGGCGUAAAGAGCUCGUAGGCGGCCUGUUACGUCUGCUGUGAAAUCCCGGGGCUUAACCCCGGGCGUGCAGUGGAUACGGGCAGGCUGGAGGCAGGCAGGGGAGAACGGAAUUCCCGGUGUAGCGGUGAAAUGCGCAGAUAUCAGGAGGAACACCGGUGGCGAAGGCGGGUCUCUGGGCCGAUACUGACGCUGAGGAGCGAAAGCGUGGGGAGCGAACAGG
rnacentral:rRNA from 1 species